AUGUCAGGGCAUGACAAAACUUCUCCAGGGCCCCAAAACCCCUCAGACCCCAGAGGGUUAAAUGUCCUGGAGAAGGGUGGUCCCUACCCUCAGGUUAUUUUACCUCAGUUUGGUGGAUAUUGGAUUGAGGAUCCCGAGGCUCCGGUCGGGACGCCCACAUCCUCAGACAGCAGCUUCUGUGAGGAGGAGGAGGAUGGUCUGAGUCCUGGUGGAGGAGGAGGAGGAGGAGGAGGAGGAGGAGGCUUCAGCUACAGGCUGGAGUGUAACAGCAUCUCACGGGCUUAUCGCAAACACUUUCUGGGCAAGGAGCACAUGAACUAUUACUGCACAGGCAGUAGUAUGGGACACCUCAUCAUGUCUCUGAAGUAUGAGGAGGCAGAUGGACAGGAGUCACUCCGCAUCAUGCUCAGGUCAAAAACAAAGACCCUUCAUGAGCGAAUCCCACUAGAAGGCCUCCUCCAUCUACCCAGCGUACCACAGAUAGCCAAGGCGCUUUCGCUCAUUUUCUGUUUUCUCUCACCCAAGGCUUCGCAACUGAUCGUCAGUUUUGAUGAGCACGAAGUGAACAACACUUUCAAGUUUGGAGUCAUCUAUCAGAAGUUUGGUCAGACGACAGAGGAAGAGCUGUUCGGGAACAAUGAGGAGACGCCAGCCUUUACUGAAUUCCUCAGUGUUUUAGGAGACAAUAUUGAACUGCAGGAGUUUAAAGGGUUCAGAGGCGGUCUGGAUGUGUCUCAUGGGCAGACCGGAUCUGAGUCUGUCUAUACCACGUUCCGUCAGAGAGAAAUCAUGUUUCACGUUUCCACAAAACUCCCUUUUACAGAAGGAGACAUUCAGCAGCUCCAGAGGAAGAGACAUAUUGGCAAUGACAUUGUUGCAGCCGUCUUCCAGGAAGAGCCCACACCAUUUGUUCCUGAUAUGAUCGCAUCCAACUUCCUUCAUGCCUACGUGUUAGUGCAGGUGGAAAACCCCUGCACUGAUCACACCAUGUACAAGGUGUCCAUCACAGCCAGAGAGGAUGUCCCUCCGUUCGGCCCCCCUCUUCCAAACCCUGCGGUCUUUAAGAAGGGUCCCGAGUUCCGGGAAUUUCUCCUGACAAAAUUGAUCAACGCAGAAAAUGCAUGCUGCAAGUCAGACAAGUUCGCCAAGCUAGAGGAGAGGACACGGGCAGCACUGUUAGAUAACCUUCACGAUGAACUGCACAGACAGACACAGGCCACAGUUGGACUGGGAUCAACUACAGAUGAAGAAAAGCUAGAAAAUGGAGGUCAUGGAGGGCUGCUGGAGUCUUUUAAGAGGGCCAUGCGUGUGAGGAGCCACUCUAUGGAGACAAUGGUGACUCAUAAACACAAGAGUCCUGGAGUGGCGGCAGGGGUCCCGUCAAGUGUGAGCGGUGGAGGACUCCAGCAGAACAGCAUGGAGUGCACCAAGAGCACCUUCACUCCUCCAGCGCUGUCUGCAAAAUCUCCAUUAAAGAGUCCAGUAAAGCGGCGCUCUGGUCUGUUCCCCAGACUGCACUCCAGCACAGAAAGUCCAACUGAGAAACAUCCAUCUCGCAGUAUUUCAGAAAAUGACCCAAAAACAGAAGUGUUACCUCACUCGCAGGAUGUGAGGUCAGAGACAUCAUCCAAUCCGAGUUCCCCAGAGAUCUGCCCAAGCAAAGAAAGGUGGGUUUCAUUGUGGUUUCUCAGUUACAGUUCCUCAGGUACAGAAGAUGUGAGUGCAAGCAGUCACCCAUCCACGGCUUCAUCUGUGUACAGUCCAUCUCUCGGCGCAGAAAGCCAGAACUCCGGAACACCGCUGAUCAUGUGCCGCAGUCCCACAGAUGGAAAGAGCAAAACUUCACCAAGGACAAACUUGAAAUUCCGCUUUGACAAACUGAGCCACUCCACUGUAAGUACUGUGUACUGGAAUAACCUUUAAUAUUGACUGGGCAUGUUUUGAAAUCGGUUUCAACAUCAGUUGUUUUACAGUAAAUCAGAUUAUCAACAAUGGCAAUGUUGGAAUGAUGUAAGUGUGUGUGUUACUAUUGUUUUUAAAGUGCAAAUGCAUUUGUUAUCAUAUGUCUGUAACAGUGCAUUUGAUUUAAUUUGUAAACUGAAUAAUGAGAUUGGAAUUAAUUCACUAAGAAUAAUCAUUCCCCUUUCUUUCAGGGUCAUUAGGUCAGACAGAAGCCACUGCAUGGACAAAAGGUACUUUGCAUAUUACUGUACUUACAUAUCUUUAAGCUACGUAGAUGCAUCUUGAAAUACAAACUUGCAUAAAAUAAAAAUCUAAAGUUUUUCUUAGUACUUAUUUUA
ensembl:lncRNA